CUAAAAUAUAAGAAAUUAUUACUAAGCAAGAGAAAAAUAAAUCAUAAUAUAAUAUGGGAUAUAAGUAUAACUGUAGCCAUAUGCCCGUAUAAAACAAUUAAAACAUUUUGUUUUUCAUGUCUAUGGACUUAAAACGGUGUGGCCGCGUAUUACAUUAUCAAGUUAUUGGACAAAGCGAACAUUUUUUUAUAGACAUAAAUCGAGAAAAAAACUAAAGUAAUCGAAAAUGUCAUAUGCAUAUGAAUACCAGAAUACCUCGACAUGAAUCUAAAUAUUUUGAAAAUGUUAUGGUUUUAAAUUCUAAUAAAUACAAUCAGUGAAAAUUGCAUGUAUAACUACAGUAGUUUAUUUUAGAGUAGGUAAAACGAAAAACCAAAACCGAACUCAAGUACUUAAAAAUUCGCGUUUUCUUAAAUUUUUUUUUGUUAUUCCCAGCGCUUUUGUAGAGUAACUAGGUACUGUUCAUUUCGACAUCCCCUAUGCACCUACUAGAUUCACUUACCGGAAAAGAUGAAAAGCGGAGCAUUGUUUCGAAUACUUAUCGUGUACACUGACACAAAUAAUAAAAAUUUAUUAAGCAGAACGUACAUUUUGUCAUUAGUAUCGAUAUAGGUCGAUUCACUCUAAUUUUUAAACUAAUUAUGCUAAAUGUGAUCGUAAAUUUGCUAUAUAUAAGACGGACACAAUAAAAUGCCCGUGUUACGUGUUAAAUCGUGGAGCUGCAUCGUUCACGAAUUUUCAAAAUUUUAAUGCCCGCGAUUCUGUCUUAUCACUAUGUACCAUUAAAUAGUAAUAACUGUUAUCAAAUAAAUAACAACAUAAUAUUAUUAUUUUUUCGUAUGCCGACUUUAAAUUUGAAUCACUCACGAAUCUCGAUUAUUUGAAAUUUGAACAAAAAUAAAGACUACAGAACACUCGUAAAGAGUUCUAUUCAUACAUUUUAAUACAAAACCACCAUGGACAAGUGUAUUCUUUUCAGUAAAACAUUCAAUGUAUCGCCUCGCCACAACAAGUCAAUCAUCUUCAUUAAAUCUGCGGUAAUCGUUUCACAACUACUAGUGAUUGUAAACAAUGUUCUCAAAACACUUGUCUGGGAUAGAAAAGUAAAAUACAUUUUAUUAAUUUAGGCAACAUUGGUACUACUCUGCGCACGACUAGUAAAUCGCAUCUAAGAGAAAAUUUUGUUUCUCCAACGAUGGGUUAGAAGUAAAUGAACAGACGAAUAAAGGAUUUGGAGGCCAUGAUUUUAAUUCACCCAUAAAAGCCUUAGACACCCAAUAAUGUCUAAUUCACACACACUUGUUUCAUACAGUGGAUUAUGCUUAUUAUGG